rnacentral:rRNA from 1 species
GACGAACGCUGGCGGCGUGCUUAACACAUGCAAGUCGAACGGAAAGGCCCUGCUUUUGUGGGGUGCUCGAGUGGCGAACGGGUGAGUAACACGUGAGUAACCUGCCCUUGACUUUGGGAUAACUUCAGGAAACUGGGGCUAAUACCGGAUAGGAGCUCCUGCUGCAUGGUGGGGGUUGGAAAGUUUCGGCGGUUGGGGAUGGACUCGCGGCUUAUCAGCUUGUUGGUGGGGUAGUGGCUUACCAAGGCUUUGACGGGUAGCCGGCCUGAGAGGGUGACCGGGCACAAUGGGACUGAGGUACGGCCCAGAAUCCUACGGGGGGCAGCAGUGGGGAAUAUUGGACAAUGGGCGGAAGCCUGAUGCAGCAACGCCGCGUGCGGGAUGACGGCCUUCGGGUUGUAAACCGCUUUCGCCUGUGACGAAGCGUGAGUGACGGUAAGGGGUAAAGAAGCACCGGCUAACUAAGUGC